rnacentral:rRNA from 1 species
GCCUAGCCCUAAACAUAGACAGCACAAAUACAAUACUGUCCGCCAGAGAACUACAAGUGAAAAACUAGAAACUCAAAGGACUUGGCGGUGCCCCACAUCAACCUAGAGGAGCCUGUCCUAUAAUCGAUAAUCCACGCUGCACCUUACCAUUUCUUGAAACUCAGCCUAUAUACCGCCGUCGAAAGCCUACCUUAUGAAAGAAACAAAGUAGGCAAAAUAGUCAACAACUAAAACGUCAGGUCAAGGUGUAGCACAUGAAAUGGCAGAGAUGGGCUACAUUUUCUAUCCCAGAAAACACGAACAGCACAAUGAAAUCUGUACUCAAAGGUGGAUUUAGCAGUAAGGUAAAAAAGANACUCUACCUUAAAUCCGCU